rnacentral:snRNA from 1 species
GUGCUUGCUUCGACAGCACAUAUACUAAAAUUGGACUGAUACGGAGAAGAUUAGCAUGGCCCUUGUGCAGGGAUGACACACAAAUUCAUGAAGUGUUCUAUUAAAAA